UUCCGCAUUCGCUUUAUUAUAUCCCCCUUGUUCAAUAAAUGAACGAUAGGCAUUUUAAGUACAUAUAAGUGGAAUUAUGCAAAACAUAGAACAUACAAUUUCACUCGAGUUAGUAAAAAAACGGAAUGACUUUCUUACGUGAACGCAUCUGACAAUCAUCUGAUGUAGAAUAUGUCGACGGACCAGCACCCUAGAAAUUUCAGAAACUUGGGCAUGUUGUUUCUUUUGAAUAAAUUACACUUAUAAGUGCCCAUGGUCUCCCUUUGUGCAAAUAUCAAAGGACACGGCGUGUCCCACGAUCAACAAACAGGGUAGUUUCACUGACUGAACAAUAAAUAUUACAUACAUCCAUGGAAUAUUCAGGAACUCAAAAUAUAGGCUACACCUGAUUUCUAGGCAUUUGGAGCACUAACCAGAUAUGAUUUAAUAAAACUGUACACAUUUACAGCAACAUGACUGAUUUGAAGAAGAAAAAGAAGAGACAAAAAAAAAAAAACUGCGCGGGAAUUCAUCAAGGUUGAUUUUCAUAAUAAAACAUUUUUUUUUCUCCAAUAUAUCUGAAAUGCAACCACUUGAACAGCAUCACCCAAUUUUCUCUGCGAUAGCGGCACAUGGUAGACUAGUUACAGAGUCAACAGGUUAGUCUGACGCGGCAGAAUUAUUCACAUUGAUAAGGGCGUACUGGAUUCGCUCAGCACACUGGUUUGUCAUUAAUAUCCAAUCAUGAUACAAACACAUGUGAUAUCUGAUAUGACGAUCGUGGCAUCACAUGUUCAUGCUCCACGUGUAUUGCGUUGAUUUCACAUUUAGAAUAUCUUUCAGAGUCUCAUAACGCCGCCGCGUACGCGGGAUACGGUUCAAGUUGUGGUUUGCCCAUUCCAGGUAGUAAAAUGUAGGCAAGAGGUGGCUGGAGCCCUGCAGACGGCCACGCCGCGCAGUUACACGGGAUCAUGUAGCCCGGGUUUCCCGGCGAUGGAUGGGAAUGCGUGUGGGUAUGUGCGCCCGCUCCGGAGAAAGCCGUCGCCGCUGUUGGGUAACCCAGCGGUGAGGCGUAUGAGAAAGACGGUGGAGAAAGUUCUGUCAUUUUUGAGCCGAGGUCAAAAAACGAAUAGGGGUUUGUAGACAUGGAAGGGUUGAAGAACACCCGUGCCGCGGCUGCCGCCGCCGCCGCAGCAGCUUUAUCUGGGUUGCUCAUUAACGACUCGGUAAGCGCUCCACUCGGUAAGCCGCCCACUUUCAGCGCCUCGUGCUCACCCAAAUUAUACGCCAUCGGGAACGCGAAUUUGUCUUUCUUCAUUAAAGUCUUGGGCUUUCGCCUGGGUCUGUAUUUGUAGUCAGGGUGUUCCUUCAUGUGCAUCGCCCGCAGUCGCUUCGCUUCGUCGAUGAACGGCCUCUUUUCAGACUCCGUCAAAAGUUUCCACUCCGCUCCUAAUCGCUUGCUGAUUUCGGAAUUGUGCAUUUUCGGAUUUUCUUGGGCCAUUUUCCGCCGCUGCGCUCGGGACCACACCAUGAACGCGUUCAUGGGACGCUUAACGUGAUCCAUGGACUUGGACAUGAUGGCAAGCGCUCGCUUCACCUGCUCAGGCUGGCUGGUCCCAUGAAGACUGCUGCGGAUUGUUAAACUGACCCUGCGCUGAGGGAAUAACUCUGAGUUAAUCAUUUUUAAGGUGGGGUUACGGUGUUUCGGCGCAUGAUGGAAAGGGGAGCAGUUUGUGUAAUUGGAGUGCAAAUAAGGUUUGAUCAGUGUCCAGUUUAAUCGAGCGCUGAAGCAGUGUUUAGCGGCUCUAAAUCAGAGGGACGGGAGGCCCGCGGGGAUUCAGCCUGACAGACGGGGC
ensembl:lncRNA